UUUGAUGGCGACCGGCGCACGGGUGAGUAACACGUAUCCAACCUGCCGAUGACUCGGGGGAUAUCCUUUCGAAAGAAAGAUUAAUACCCGAUGGCAUAGUUCUUCCGCAUGGUGGAACUAUUAAAGAAUUUCGGUCAUCGAUGGGGAUGCGUUCCAUUAGGUUGUUGGCGGGGUAACGGCCCACCAAGCCUUCGAUGGAUAGGGGUUCUGAGAGGAAGGUCCCCCACAUUGGAACUGAGACACGGUCCAAACUCCUACGGGAGGCAGCAUG
rnacentral:rRNA from 1 species